rnacentral:tRNA from 1 species
GAGAAUAUAACUCAGUGGUAGAGUGCCUGCUUAGCAUGCACGAGGUCCUAGGUUCAAUACCCAGUACCUCCG